UUCCGGAGCUAACGCGUUAAGUCGACCGCCUGGGGAGUACGGCCGCAAGGUUAAAACUCAAAUGAAUUGACGGGGGCCCGCACAAGCGGUGGAGCAUGUGGUUUAAUUCGAUGCAACGCGAAGAACCUUACCUGGUCUUGACAUCCACAGAACUUUCCAGAGAUGGAUUGGUGCCUUCGGGAACUGUGAGACAGGUGCUGCAUGGCUGUCGUCAGCUCGUGUUGUGAAAUGUUGGGUUAAGUCCCGCAACGAGCGCAACCCUUAUCCUUUGUUGCCAGCGGUCCGGCCGGGAACUCAAAGGAGACUGCCAGUGAUAAACUGGAGGAAGGUGGGGAUGACGUCAAGUCAUCAUGGCCCUUACGACCAGGGCUACACACGUGCUACAAUGGCGCAUACAAAGAGAAGCGACCUCGCGAGAGCAAGCGGACCUCAUAAAGUGCGUCGUAGUCCGGAUUGGAGUCUGCAACUCGACUCCAUGAAGUCGGAAUCGCUAGUAAUCGUGGAUCAGAAUGCCACGGUGAAUACGUUCCCGGGCCUUGUACACACCGCCCGUCACACCAUGGGAGUGGGUUGCAAAAGAAGUAGGUAGCUUAACCUUCGGGAGGGCGCUUACCACUUUGUGAUUCAUGACUGGGGUGAAGUCGUAACAAGGUAACCGUAGGGGAACCUGCGGUUGGAUCAC
rnacentral:rRNA from 1 species